rnacentral:rRNA from 1 species
UACGUAGGGACCGAGCGUUGUCCGGAAUCAUUGGGCGUAAAGAGCGUGUAGGCGGCCAAUUAAGUCCUGCGUGAAAUCUCGGGGCUCAACCCCGAGCGGUCGUGGGAAACUGGUUGGCUAGAGUGCGGGAGAGGAGAGUGGAAUUCCUGGUGUAGCGGUGAAAUGCGCAGAUAUCAGGAAGAACACCCGUGGCGAAGGCGGCUCUCUGGAACGCAACUGACGCUGAGGUGCGAAAGCGUGGGGAGCAAACAGG